rnacentral:sRNA from 1 species
GCGGAGGAAAAGAAACCAACAGGGAUUGCCCCAGUAACGGCGAGUGAAGCGGCAACAGCUCAAAUUUGAAAUCUGGUCCCCUCUGGGGGCCCGAGUUGUAAUUUGAAGAGGAUGCUUCUGGCGAGGCGCCGGCCGAGUUCCCUGGAACGGGACGCCGUAGAGGGUGAGAGCCCCGUACGGCCGGAUGCCGAGCCUCUGUGAAGCUCCUUCGACGAGUCGAGUAGUUUGGGAAUGCUGCUCAAAAUGGGAGGUAAACCCCUUCUAAAGCUAAAUACUGGCCAGAGACCGAUAGCGCACAAGUAGAGUGAUCGAAAGAUGAAAAGCACUUUGAAAAGAGAGUUAAACAGCACGUGAAAUUGUUGAAAGGGAAGCGCUUGCGACCAGACUUGCGCCCGUCGGAUCAGCCGUCCCUCGUGGGCGGCGCACUCCGGCGGGCUCAGGCCAGCAUCGGUUCGCCUGGCGGGAGAAAGGCGGCGGGAAUGUGGCUCUGCGGAGUGUUAUAGCCCGCCGCGUAAUACCACCGGGCGGACCGAGGACCGCGCGUAUGCAA